GUCCCCGUGGAUCGUGGUACAUGGAUCAUCCCAAUUCCAUAAUCUGGUAUGCUUCGGGGAAUUACUAUUGGGAGGACGGCGGUUCGACUCCGCCCGGGGACA